UCCGGUUGAUCCUGCCAGAGGUUACUGCUAUCGAGGUUCGACUAAGCCAUGCGAGUCGAAUGUAGCAAUACAUGGCGUACUGCUCAGUAACACGUGGACAACCUGCCCUUAGGUCGGGUAUAAACCCGGGAAACUGGGUAUAAUCCCCGAUAGAUCUCGGCUGCUGGAAUGCAUCGAGAUUAAAAGCUCCGGCGCCUAAGGAUGGGUCUGCGGCCUAUCAGGUAGUAGUGGGUGUAGUGUACCUACUAGCCUACGACGGGUACGGGUUGUGAGAGCAAGAGCCCGGAGAUGGAUUCUGAGACACGAAUCCAGGCCCUACGGGGUGCAGCAGGCGCGAAAACUUUACAAUGCUGGCAACAGCGAUAAGGGAACCUCGAGUGCCAGGUUACAAAUCUGGCUGUCGAGAUGCCUAAAAAGCAUUUCAUAGCAAGGGCCGGGCAAGACCGGUGCCAGCCGCCGCGGUAACACCGGCGGCUCGAGUGGUAACCGUUAUUAUUGGGUCUAAAGGGUCUGUAGCCGGCCGGAUAAGUCUCUUGAGAAAUCUGGCAGCUUAACUGUCAGGCUUUCAGGAGAUACUGUCUGGCUCGAGGCCGGGAGAGGUGAGAGGUACUUCAGGGGUAGGGGUGAAAUCUUGUAAUCCUUGAAGGACCACCAGUGGCGAAGGCGUCUCACCAGAACGGACCUGACGGCAGGGGACGAAAGCUAGGGGCACGAACCGGAUUAGAUACCCGGGUAGUCCUAGCCGUAAACGAUACUCGCUAGGUGUCGGCCACGGUGCGACCGUUGUCGGUGCCGUAGGGAAGCCGUGAAGCGAGCCACCUGGGAAGUACGGCCGCAAGGCUGAAACUUAAAGGAAUUGGCGGGGGAGCAUCACAACGGGUGGAGCUUGCGGUUUAAUUGGAUUCAACGCCGGAAAUCUUACCGGGACCGACAGCAAUAUGAAGGCCAGGCUGAAGACUUUGCCGGAUUAGCUGAGAGGUGGUGCAUGGCCGUCGUCAGUUCGUACUGUGAAGCAUCCUGUUAAGUCAGGUAACGAGCGAGACCCA
rnacentral:rRNA from 1 species